AAACUAAAGAGUUUGAUCCUGGCUCAGAUUGAACGCUGGCGGCAUGCCUUACACAUGCAAGUCGAACGGCAGCACGGGAGCAAUCCUGGUGGCGAGUGGCGAACGGGUGAGUAAUAUAUCGGAACGUGCCCAGUCGUGGGGGAUAACG
rnacentral:rRNA from 1 species